AAGGUAUGAGGUGAUGGAGUUCACCAACGAGCGCAUUCGCUCUGAACCGCCUUCCUGGCCGAUAACUCCUAUGAAGGA
rnacentral:ncRNA from 2 species